CUCAAGCUAACAGACGCCGAAAGAAGAGAGGAAAGCCUUAGAAUGGUCAAAAACAUUCUCCGGAACAACAACUAUCCGAAUAAUGUGGUACAGCGAACUAUAAGAAAGCGGGUUCAUCUGCUUUACAACACACUGGAGAAUGAGAGGGAAAACGAAGAAAUGAAAACAUACGUGUCUAUCCCAUACAUCCCUAGUUUAAGCGAGAAGGUGAGCAAAGUUUUGAAAAAACACAACAUCACUGCUUCCUGCAAACCGUGCGAUAAGGUGAAAACAACCGUUUUCACCAAGCUUAAGGAUGCUAUACCACCAAUGAAACAAACUAACGUGGUAUACAGCAUCCCUUGUGGAGCUUGCGAAAGAAAAGAAUACAUAGGACAAACAUCACAAACACUGGACAAGCGCAUUGCGCAACACAGAAACUCCAUACGCACCAACGCUUCAGCCACGGGACUCACGCAACACGCGAUAGAAAACGGACAUCAAUUUCACUUUUCUCGAACACGAAUCUUAGAGAGGAUCAACCAUGACGCAAGCCGAUUAGCAGCAGAAAUAAUUCUCAUUAAGAUAAACAGAGAGACAACAGUAAACUUACAACGUGACGUAGACGGGUUCUCCAACACAUACAACAACUUGAUAAACAAACUUAAAGACGAACAACGACGAACAGAACAACGACGACAGGAACGAGAACAUAGAGAAACGACGUAGAAAAUUAGAAUUAAGUAUACCGCCGAGACGGACGAACGGUCGGCGGAAUUUUUUCUGAAGAUGACCGAAAUAAAGUAGGCUGAAACGUAAAAUUUCUAUAUCAGAAAUCAUUACCCGUCACCGAAAAAUAACAAUGAAGUGGAAACGGAUAAGUAUAAAUAGCAUUUUUUUUGCUGUGAAACAGAAAAUUUUCACUAGUCACAUUGAAAUCAUUGUGAUUUGUAUGUGACAUGCUGUGUUACUACAAGAAGAACUUGAACAAACAAACUGUUAAUGAGAGCUUUAUUGUAAUGCGUCUAGCUUGCAGGAGUUUUACUAACGACUAAAUUAGUUUUUCACAGUAACAAACCGGUUCCCAAGGGUUGUCACUAGGUGAUGUAACGAAGGGCAGAUUGCAGCCGAUUGCUACAACUUCUACAAUUCUAAUUAAUAUUUCCAAGAGAUUCUGAAGAAUGUCUUCACAAGAUAUGACCUUCUGCUUACGAAGCAGAAGCACCGCAAAUCAAACAAAUACCUAACCGACAGUAAAUUUAACAUUCUAGAUGCCAAUUCUGUGCCCCAAACCUUGAUGCUACGUAUUGUCUUUUAACACCAGAAAGAACACAGAAAGGAAAAAACUUAGACUCCAACUUUCAAUCCCGCCAAACGACAGUGCAAAACUCGCGCCAAAGUCAAAGGUGUUACCCGAGGCUGAGCUGCAUUUCGCGUUUAGUUUUCAAGCUUGUUAUGUAAAUAAGUUGCACGUUCGCACGUUUCCGUUUCUCUCCGAACUCUUUGGAAUCUUUCACCGUCAUGGGUUCUUUCUUACACUCGAGAAAAAGCGUACAUCCGGGUACCGCACUAAUGCAACAUGAUGUUGCUAUUAAAAAACCCGGAGAACACAUAAAAGCCGGUGCUCCUUCCAGACCGGCCGCCGUAUGGCGAGA
rnacentral:lncRNA from 1 species